rnacentral:misc_RNA from 1 species
GAUGAAGAACGUAGCGAAACGCGAAAGGUAAUGCGAAUUGCAGAAUCAGUGAGUCAUCGAAUCUUUGAACGCACAUUGCGCCCGCUGGUAUUCCGGCGGGCAUGCCUGUUCGAGCGUCAUUUCAACCCUCAAGCCCCCGGGUUUGGUGUUGGGGAUCGGCUCUGCCCUUCUGGGCGGUGCCGCCCCCGAAAUACAUUGGCGGUCUCGCUGCAGCCUCCAUUGCGUAGUAGCUAACACCUCGCAACUGGAACGCGGCGCGGCCAUGCCGUAAAACCCCAACUUCUGAAUGUUGACCUCGGAUCAGGUAGGAAUACCCGCUGAACUUAAGCAUAUCAAUAAGCGGAGGA